CUGGCGAAUAAAUCAAUCUUAUCCAUUCCAUGACAAGACCGUUUUAUAUAUAAUCAAUAUUAGCACGUAAGUGUCAUUGUCCAGCGGAUGGAUUCUGCUUUGAUUCAAAUACAAACUGCUUUGAUUCAAAUACAAAUGAUUGUUACUGUUUUCCUAUUUGUCAAGUUUAACAUGAAUCGUGCGCAAUCUCACUUUUCUACAGUAAACCCUGA
rnacentral:lncRNA from 1 species